ACUAUACCAACGUAAUUAUCACAGCAAUGUAGAUGGCGCUAAUGCGAAAUAUGACGCAUGUGUAAUGGCGCUGAUGCUGGUCAGGGAGUAGCGAGAUUGCCACAGAUGCAGCGAAUGCUUCGUCUAGUAUAGGUAGAGGAGUGUAGGUCGUGCUUUGGUUCGCGCACGUUCGUGAGAGUUUAUGUCCGCAAUGGACGGCUUGAUACCUGUUGCACGACCCGGCGCGGACCGGUUCGAGUCAUUCACAUAUCGACGUUUGUCGUAGAUAGAAAAGUGAUUUAUAUUCCAGUGACGAUGAAUUGUCGUGAUCAUCAUUGUUGACGUUUCUCGUGGUGUGACAGUACAGGCUACCAUCGUUGCCGUGCGUCACGAUUUUCGUGUGCAAAUACAGCGCAGGAUAUAUUUGCCACGAUUGAAACAAUGGGGAUCGUGCAGAGUCGUGCCGGCGAAAGCGAUGGCGGUGUGCGUGAAGUAUUCAUUGGUGGUAUCAAGGGCGGCACGCCUCUUCAAUCCUAUCAACCUAGCCUUGGCAUGGGAAGUUUGGGUGGACCACACGCACGGAGUGGCAGCGUCCGUGGCGCGCCAAGGCAACCAAUGCCCGACGCUGUGGAACUCGAAAGGCGCUUCACCNAAGUGUUGGUGAGUGAAAUACUCGAUAUAUCUACAUAUACAGUCGAUCACAAAAUUAUUUCAACACCGGUAUAGAUUUGAUUUCUAUACUUUAUAUUUUAUGAUAAAUACAAUUGAAAGAUAAAAAUACAUCGUGUUGCGUU